rnacentral:misc_RNA from 1 species
CCGAGUUUACAACUCCCAACCCCAAUGUGAACGUUACCCAACUGUUGCCUCGGCGGGAUCUCUGCCCCGGGCGCGUCGCAGCCCCGGACCAAGGCGCCCGCCGGAGGACCGACCAAAACCCUUGUUGUAUACCCCGUCGCGGGUUUUUUACUGUCUGAGCCGUCUCGGCGCCCCUCGUGGGCGUUCCGAAAAUGAAUCA